AGGCAGUCAGAGGCGAUGAAGGGCGUGCUAAUCUGCGAAAAGCGUCGGUAAGGUGAUAUGAACCGUUAUAACCGACGAUACCCGAAUGGGGAAACCCAGUGCAAUUCGUUGCACUAUUGCAUGGUGAAUACAUAGCCAUGCAAGGCGAACCGGG
rnacentral:rRNA from 1 species